rnacentral:misc_RNA from 1 species
UACGAGAGGCCCGAGCGUUAGGCGGAAUCACUGGGCUUAAAGGGUGCGUAGGCGGACCAGUAAGCAUUUUGUGAAAUCCCUCGGCUCAACCGAGGAAUUGCAGAGUGAACUACUGGUCUUGAGGUAGGCAGAGGUCAUCGGAACGUACGGUGGAGCGGUGAAAUGCGUAGAUAUCGUACGGAACGCCGAAGGGGUAGCCAGGUGACUGGGCCUUACCUGACGCUGAGGCACGAAAGCGUGGGGAUCAAACAGG